rnacentral:rRNA from 1 species
CCUACGGGAGGCAGCAGUGAGGAAUAUUGCACAAUGGGCGAAAGCCUGAUGCAGCGACGCCGCGUGGGUGAAGAAGGUUUUCGGAUCGUAAAACCCUUUUCUGUGUGACGAGCAAGGACGGUAGCACAGGAAUAAGUCUCGGCUAACUACGUGCCAGCAGCCGCGGUAAAACGUAGGAGACAAACGUUAUCCGGAGUUACUGGGCGUAAAGGGCGUGUAGGUGGUUUUGUAAGUCUGGCGUGAAAUAUCUCGGCUUAACCGGGACAGGUCGUCGGAUACUGCAGAACUAGAGGACGGUAGAGGCGUGUGGAAUUCCGGGUGUAGUGGUGAAAUGCGUAGAGAUCCGGAGGAACACCAGUGGCGAAGGCGACACGCUGGGCCGUACCUGACACUGAGGCGCGAUAGCAUGGGGAGCAAACAGGAUUAGAAACCCUGGUAGUCCGAUGCCGUAAACGAUGCUAGCUGGGUGUUCAGUGGGGGAAACCCCACGGGGUACCCGAAGUCAACACGGUAAGCUAGCCGCCUGGGGAGUACGGUCGCAAGAUUAAACUCAAAGGAAUUGACGG